UACGAGGGGGGCGAGCGUUGUUCGGAAUUAUUGGGCGUAAAGGGUGCGUAGGCGGUUUGGUAAGUCUUGUGUGAAAUCUCCAGGCUCAACUUGGAGUCUGCACGAGAAACUGCCGGGCUUGAGUGUGGGAGAGGCGAGUGGAAUUCCUGGUGUAGCGGUGGAAUGCGCAGAUAUCAGGAGGAACACCGAUGACGAAGGCAGAUCUCUGGGCCGUAACUGACGCUGAGGAGCGAAAGCAUGGGGAGCGAACAGG
rnacentral:rRNA from 1 species